rnacentral:misc_RNA from 1 species
UCUCCGUUGGUGAACCAGCGGAGGGAUCAUUACAGGACUCGCAAGACUCCGACAACCCUGUGAACUUAACUAUAAGCACGUUGCUUCGGCGGGUGUCUCGGAGGGGGUUCGCCCUCCCCGAGACGCUAAACCCGCCGGCAGCCUACUAUUCUCUGGCUCUUUGCGUUGGCAUCUCGAGUACAAUCAAACAAGUUAAAACUUUCAACAACGGAUCUCUUGGUUCUG